rnacentral:rRNA from 1 species
UACAGAGGUCUCGAGCGUUGUUCGGAUUCAUUGGGCGUAAAGGGUGCGUAGGUGGCGUGGUAAGUCUGGUGUGAAAUCCCGGGGCUCAACCCCGGAACUGCACUGGAUACUGCCAUGCUUGAGUACUGGAGAGGAGAUUGGAAUUUACGGUGUAGCAGUGAAAUGCGUAGAGAUCGUAAGGAAGACCAGUGGCGAAGGCGAGUUUCUGGACAGUUACUGACGCUGAGGCACGAAGGCCAGGGGAGCAAACGGG